UACGGAGGGUGCGAGCGUUAAUCGGAAUUACUGGGCGUAAAGCGUGCGCAGGCGGUUUUGUAAGUCUGUCGUGAAAUCCCCGGGCUCAACCUGGGAAUUGCGAUGGAGACUGCAAGGCUAGAAUCUGGCAGAGGGGGGUAGAAUUCCACGUGUAGCAGUGAAAUGCGUAGAGAUGUGGAGGAACACCGAUGGCGAAGGCAGCCCCCUGGGUCAAGAUUGGACGCUCAUGCACGAAAGCGUGGGGAGCAAACAGG
rnacentral:rRNA from 1 species